rnacentral:rRNA from 1 species
UAGCUAGUUGGUGAGGUAACUGCUCACCAAGGCUACGAUAGGUAGCCGGCCUGAGAGGGUGAACGGCCACACUGGAACUGAGACACGGUCCAGACUCCUACGGGAGGCAGCAGUGGGGAAUAUUGCACAAUGGAGGAAACUCUGAUGCAGCGACGUCGCGUGAAUGAUGAAGGCCUUCGGGUCGUAAAAUUCUGUCCUUGGGGAAGAUAAUGACGGUACCCAAGGAGGAAGCCCCGGCUAACUACGUGCCAGCAGCCGCGGUAAUACGUAGGGGGCGAGCGUUGUCCGGAAUUAUUGGGCGUAAAGGGUUCGCAGGCGGUCUGAUAAGUCAGAUGUGAAAGACUAUGGCUCAACCAUGGCAAGCAUUUGAAACUGUUAGACUUGGGUUAAGGAGAGGAAAGCAGAAUUCCUAGUGUAGCGGUGAAAUGCGUAGAUAUUAGGAGGAACACCAGUGGCGAAGGCGACUUUCUGGACUUAUACUGACGCUGAGGAACGAAAGCGUGGGGAGCAAACAGGAUUAGAUACCCUGGUAGUCCACGCUGUAAACGAUGAGUGCUAGGUGUCGGGGGUCAAACCUCGGUGCCGGAGUUAACGCAUUAAGCACUCCGCCUGGGGAGUACGUACGCAAGUAUGAAACUCAAAGGAAUAGACGGGGACCCGCACAAGCAGCGGAGCAUGUGGUUUAAUUCGAAGCAACGCGAAGAACCUUACCAGGGCUUGACAUGCCACUGACCGCGCUAGAGAUAGCGUUUUACCUUCGGGUACAGUGGACACAGGUGGUGCAUGGUUGUCGUCAGCUCGUGUCGUGAGAUGUUGGGUUAAGUCCCGCAACGAGCGCAACCCCUAUUUUUAGUUGCCAUCAUUAAGUUGGGCACUCUAGAGAGACUGCCGAUGAUAAAUCGGAGGAAGGUGGGGAGGACGUCAAAUCAUCAUGCCCUUUAUGCCCUGGGCUACACACGUGCUACAAUGGUCGGUACAACGAGGAGCAAGCUAGCGAUAGCAAGCAAAUCUCUUAAAGCCGAUCCCAGUUCGGAUUGCAGGCUGCAACUCGCCUGCAUGAAGUCGGAGUUGCUAGUAAUCGCGGAUCAGAAUGUCGCGGUGAAUGAGUUCCCGGGUCUUGUACACACCGCC